rnacentral:misc_RNA from 1 species
GAUGCCAAAUGCCAAUUGACAUUUGCCAAUGACAAGCAAAAGCAAGUUGCCAAGGCCAACCGCCAUUUUGUGAAACAACGCAAAGUAAAAAUUAAUUUACGAGUUCUAGAAAGUGAAACAGUGAAGAAAAACUAUAAUUUCGUGACUAUUCAAGCAAAAUUCUAAUCAAUUUAUUGAAUAUAUAUUGUACAACAGUGAAUAAAGUACAAGGAUAAUGGACAACCAAAGAGAGAAGGAACGAGACCGUUCCAGGCGCGGAGAUAGACCGUCCAGGUUUUCUGACGCUACACGUGACCGGUCUGACGAUCGGGAUAGGUCUGAAGGGAAACGAUUAUUUGUUUCAAAUAUACCAUAUGAGUUUCGUUGGACUGAAUUGAAGGAUUUAUUGAAAGAGAAGGUAGGUGAUGUGGCUUAUGUUGAACUUUUCAAUGAUGAAAAUGGAAAGCCAAGAGGCUGUGGUGUUGUUGAAUUUACAAACUCUGAAGCAAUGAAGAAAGCUCUGUUAGUUAUGCAUAGAUAUGAACUUAAUGGGAGAAAACUAGUUUUGAAAGAAGAAACUGGUCAUGAAAGAAGCAGAAACAUGGCUAGGCAAGGAGGCGGAGGAGGAGGUGGUGGUAGUGGUGGUGGUGGUGGGGGAAGGAAAAUGAGGGAUGACAAAGAUGGUUGGGGUGUGAACAAACCACGAGAACCAGAAAACUAUAAUACAUAUGGAUUGAGCUUGCAGUUUUUGGAGUCUAUAAAUGUGCAAACACCUUUAGUCAAGAAAAUUUUUGUUGCAAAUCUUGACUAUAAAGCAGAUCGUGCCAAAAUAAAGGAGGUGUUCAAAAUGGCGGGAAAAGUGCGUAAUAUUGAUUUAGCUGUUGACAAAGAUGGCAAUAGCAGGGGAUUUGCCGUUAUUGAAUAUGACCACCCGGUUGAAGCUGUACAGGCAAUAUCAAUGUUUGACAAGCAAAUGCUAUUUGACCGCCGAAUGACCGCCCGUAUGGACAGGGGUAUGUCUGAUAAGACUGAACUAAGAUUGCCUGAAGGUCUCAAGAGCAUUGGUAUAGGACUGGGUCCGAACGGAGAGCCUUUGAGAGAUGUGGCCAGAAAUCUGCCACAAAAUUCUGCACCUAAUACUUUGAACUUGGCAACGGCUGGAUCAACAAUUGGUGCAGGAGUUCUAGGGGCAGUUCCCUCGGCCAGUGUUAAUUUGAAUGGACUUGGUUCUGGCUUAGCUGCUAACACACUCACUACAAAUGCAGCACUUGGCAACAGUUUAGGACUGCAGUUGGGGCUGUCAAGCCUAGGGGCUCUACAGAACCAGCUGUUGCAGCAGGGGCUGACAGCGAAUGACCUCGCCACAGUGUUGUCGCAGGCUCAAGUUGCUAACAACAAUGCAAUGGGACUUAAUAAUACUGAUGUUGGAAAUGUUCUGGUGAACAACAAUCUCAAUAACAAUGUCCUAGGACCCAAUACAAGUAUGAGCAGUGGACCACUAUCAGGUCCUAAUCGUCAACUAGGUAACGCGUCGGUGACGGGGCAGGGCUACGGACGCGACCAGGGCGUGCAGCAGAACAAGCAGUCGUCCGAUAUGGUUAUGAUAACCAAUCUUCCUCCGACAGUCACUUGGCAGUUGAUUCGUGAAAAGUUCAGCGAAUGCGGCGAUGUGAAGUUCGCUGAGAUGACGGCGGCAGACACUGCCAUCGUGAGAUUCCAUAAAGAAUGGGACGCAGAGAGAGCUGUCAAAAUGUUUGACAGGACGCGUAUUGACGGCAGGACAAUAGAUGUUCGUUACUUUUAAGAGAAACUAGCUGCAGCAAAGGUAUCUUUCAGGUUCAUGGAAAUGAUAAAUGAUGAUAACAAUACAAUCUCUUUGAAUGGAUAAUUCCGAAAGUCAGGCUAAUUAAAGACGCUUAAAAUGUUCUUCAGCUUCAGAAAAUUUUACGAUGCAUUGCGAAAUUUUCGAAGAAGACCAGAAAAUAAGCCUGUCUGAAAGAUAGAGAAGAAUAUUAUCAAGUGUUAUCAGGAAAUUGGUGUAUUAACCGACUUAAUGGGUAAAACAGGAGACAAUAAGGUUGCAUACUUAACUGUAAGUGUAAACUGUAAAUAUUAAAUAAUGUAUGAGAAGAAAAAUAAAAUUAAUUUCA